UAAGGUAAGUCAGUACUCAUUGUGCCUG
rnacentral:piRNA from 1 species